rnacentral:rRNA from 1 species
GACGAACGCUGGCGGCGCGCUUAACACAUGCAAGUCGAGCGAUGAAAUUUCGACAGAUCCCUUCGGGGUGAAGAUGAAAUGGAUUAGCGGCGGACGGGUGCGUAACACGUGAGUAACCUGCCUUUGACAUUGGGAUAGCCUCGGGAAACUGGGAUUAAUACCACAUGACACUAACUGAUCACAUGAUCACUUAGUCAAAGAAAUUCGGUCAAAGAUGGACUCGCGGCUGAUUAGCUAGUUGGUGAGGUAACGGCCCACCAAGGCGACGAUCAGUAGCCGGCCAGAGAGGGUGGUCCGACACAUUGGAACGGAGACACGGUCCAAACUCCUACGGGAGGCAGCAGUGGGGAAUAUUGCACAAUGGGGGAAACCCUGAUGCAGCGACGCCGCGUGAGCGAAGAAGGCCUUCGGGUCGUAAAGCUCUUUUAUGAGGGAAGAUAAUGACGGUACCUCAAGAAAAAGCCCCGGCUAACUACGUG